GCACGGUCUAAGCAUAGAGACAGCAAACGUUCUGGUUAUAGGUCCAGUUGGAGCCGGAAAGUCCAGUUUUAUCAACACUGUUGCCUCAGUUUUCCGUGUCCAUAUAUGUGACCAGGCUGUAUGCGGUAGUGCUGAGAAAAGUAUAACCUCGAAGUAUCGCAUGUAUCGUGUACGAGGCUCUCAAAUGGAAAAACCACUUAGGUUCUGCCUAUGCGACACAAUGGGUCUUGAGGAAAGUCAAGGAAUAGAUGCACAAGAAUUGACAUACAUUUUGGAUGGACAUGUGCCCGAUGGUUAUCAGUUUAAUCCGACAACACCAAUAUCCUCUGAUAUACAUGGUUUCAUCACGUCACCAACACUUGGACACAAAAUUCACUGUGUAUGAUUUGUCUUCGAUGGUAACACAGCAACUAUUCUCUCCGAGAAAAUGCUGGAGAAAAUCAAGAGCAUGCAGGCAAAAGUGAGACAGAAAGGCUUGCCACAGGCAAUUGUGCUAACUAAAAUCGACAAUGUCUGUUCCUAUGUCGAAGAGGACGUGCGGAAUGUUUACCAAAGUGAUACCAUCAAACAGCUGGUCAACAAAGUGUCUAACAUAUUUGGAGUCCCUCGCAGCUUUAUCUUGCCACUGAAGAAUUAUGAAAAGGAGUUUGACGUCAGGACUGACGUCAGCGUUCUAGCGAUGCAUACAUUGAAGUGGCUAGUUGUCUACAGAGAACCAUCUCUUCAACUUCCUUGAUCAGUAGGACAGGAAACAGAAAUCUUCAGAUAGCUUGGAGUAAUACUCAAAAUCGAACAAAAGAAGUCGAUUAAAUACUGCUUUUUCAGAACUUCGAGACUUAGUCAA